GUCAUGACGCUACGUACGUAAGGCAACUCGCAAGACCGCCCUCCGGCGCAGAUCACGUGACGCCUCCGUGGCGGCCCGACGCUGAUGGAGUGCAACGGUGCCUCCUUCUGGAUGGAGGGAGUUCCUGCAAGUGUAGUCAUCUUUGCAGGCUGUAUCUCUAACCUGGGAGGAUUCCAGAAACCUUGAGUUGACUACAGUUACAAAUUGGCAUGCCUCAGUGAAAUGAUCCCUGUGGUAUCUGGUGGAUAGGAUUUCUUUCUUACGGCCGAGUGACAUUACACUGUGCCGGGGGGCGCCUAGGUCAAUUGCACAUCUUGGCCGACGUGAACAGUGCCUCGGCAACCACGGAAGUGCAGGAGUCUGAUGUGCUGCCGUCGUUUGCUUUGGUCAUACACCUAGAAGUAGGACAGCUGAAUCAUCUGGAGUCUUGAUGAGGAAGUCGGGGCCUCAUGCGACAUGGUGAGGAUUUGGGCCUACGGUUUCCUCUAUUCGGCGCAGGGCAGGGGAGCAGAUUGAGAGAGGCCUGGAGCUGGGGGCAAGAGGAUGGAGGCACCAGAUGGAGGAGAACUACCCUGGGUGAGGUGGUCCCUCAAGUCUUAGGUAAACUGACUAAUUUUACAAAAUCACAAGGGUGACUAAACUCCUGGAGGAAAGGGGCUAAACGUUGAGGAGC